CUAGUUUACUACCUUAAAUUCUAAUUGCUUUUAAAAUUGUUUACAAUUUUAAUAUUCCUUAUCUUCUCCAGCUUUUCGGUUUACAAUUAAUGAACAAAAAGUCGUGCAGCACACUAAUUAACACUCUUUUGUACUGUCAUAUUAAUUCAUUAGGAAAGUAUUUGCUAUAAAAACCGUCUAGAUUCUCUGGAUAAUCAUUCAGUUUUCUUUGCAAAUUAUAGCAAAACAAACCAACUCCAAAAAGUCCAAUAUGAAAUUCUUUGCAACCAUUGCUGUAGCCGUUAUGGGUGUUUUGGCAAUUGCUUCUGCUAAUCCUGAACCCAUCUUACCCGUAGUUACCGGUUUGACCGAGGGAAUGGGAAUCGGAAAGUGAGAAAAUGAAUGGUUUUGAAAAUUUUGAACUCAUCACAAAGGCCAAUGGAAUGUACUAGGACUAAUCCGAAUAAUUUAUUAAACGAAAUCUAAAAACCUAAUAAAAAUAAAUUUAGAGCACAAUAACUAAA